CAGCCAAUCAGCAGCAGACCCUCCCUCCCAGACCCUUCCACCUCCUGGACAGCUCACUAAGAAUGCAGCUUCACAAUGAAUGUAAAAUGGAUGCUGUCCAGGAGGUGGGAGGGUCUGGGAGGGAGGGUCUGCUGCUGAUUGGCUGGAAUGUGUCU